rnacentral:rRNA from 1 species
AGAGUUUGAUCCUGGCUCAGGAUGAACGCUGGCGGCGUGCCUAACACAUGCAAGUCGAGCGAACCCUUCGGGGUGAGCGGCGGACGGGUGAGUAACGCGUGGGUAACCUGCCCUGUACACACGGAUAACAUACCGAAAGGUAUGCUAAUACGAGAUAAUAUGUAAUGAUCGCAUGGUCGAUACAUCAAAGCUCCGGCGGUACAGGAUGGACCCGCGUCUGAUUAGCUAGUUGGUGAGGUAAUGGCUCACCAAGGCGACGAUCAGUAGCCGACCUGAGAGGGUGAUCGGCCUCAUUGGAACUGAGACACGGUCCAAACUCCUACGGGAGGCAGCAGUGGGGAAUAUUGCACAAUGGGCGAAAGCCUGAUGCAGCAACGCCGCGUGAGUGAUGAAGGCCUUCGGGUCGUAAAGCUCUGUCCUCAAGGAAGAUAAUGACGGUACUUGAGGAGGAAGCCCCGGCUAACUACGUGCCAGCAGCCGCGGUAAUACGUAGGGGGCUAGCGUUAUCCGGAUUUACUGGGCGUAAAGGGUGCGUAGGCGGUCUUUCAAGUCAGGAGUGAAAGGCUACGGCUCAACCGUAGUAAGCUCUUGAAACUGUAAGACCUGAGUGCAGGAGAGGAGAGUGGAAUUCCUAGUGUAGCGGUGAAAUGCGUAGAUAUUAGGAGGAACACCAGUUGCGAAGGCGGCUCUCUGGACUGUAACUGACGCUGAGGCACGAAAGCGUGGGGAGCAAACAGGAUUAGAUACCCUGGUAGUCC